rnacentral:rRNA from 1 species
AUAUUACUAAGCGGGGGAAAAGAAAUUAACAAAGAUUGCCUUAGUAAGGGCGACUGAACCGGCAAGAGCCCAAAAUUGAAAUCGAGAAUUCAAUGAAUUUUCGAAUUGUAAUCAGGUCCGCCUAAAUACGAGAUUACGUUUAACUACGUCGAAUCGUGGGCCAAGGAGGGUGAAAGCCCCGUGUAGCGUUUUCUCGAGUAAGGAGGACCCCAAAAGAGUCGGGUUGCUUGGAACUGCAGCCCUAAGUGGGAGAUAUGAAUCUUCCAAAGCUAAAUAUGGAUGGGAGACCGAUAGCGCACAAGUA